rnacentral:ncRNA from 1 species
UUAUAUUUAUAAGAAUUAUUAAAGUAACAAAGUUUUAUUUUGGCUUAAAAGUUUUUUAUUUUUAAAAUUUACAUGUAAAUUUAAGUAGAAUAUUUUAUUUUAAUAAUAAUUAAUAUUAUCUAUAGCAGUAGAAAAUUUUAAAUAUUAAAGAAAUUUAGAUUUAGUUAUAAAUUUUAAUAUUAAUUAAAUUUGUGCCAGCAAUUGCGGUUAAACAAAUGAUAUAAAAAAAUUUUUAUUAAAAAUAAUAAAUUUAAAUAAAAAAAAUUAAUUUAUUUUAUUAAGUGAAAUUUUAUGAUAAAAUAAUUAAUUAAAGUUUUAAUUAAUUAAGAAUUUAUUUUAAAAAACUAGGAUUAGAUACCCUAUUAUUAUUAAUGUAAUAAAUAUUUUUAAAUUAGUAUUAGUUAUGUUCUUGAAAAUUAAAAAAUUUGGCGGUAUUUUAGUCUUUUUAGAGGAAUUUGUCUUAUAAUUGAUAAUCCACGAUUAAUUGUACUUAAAUUAGAAGUUUGUAUAUCGUCGUAGUAGAAUAUUUUAAAAGAAUUAAUAUUCAAUAAUUUAAAUUUGAUUUUAAAUCAGAUCAAGAUGUAGCUUAUAUUUAAGUAAAGAUGAAUUACAAUAAAUUUAUUUAUGAAUAAUUUAAUGAAAUUUAAAUUUGAAAUUGGAUUUAAUAGUAAUUUUAAAAAUAUAUUUAAAAUGAUUUUAGCUCUAAAAUAUGUACAUAUUGCCCGUCGCUUUUGUUUUAAAAUGAAAUAAGUCGUAACAAAGUAGAUUAACUGGAAAGUGAAUCUAGAAG